rnacentral:rRNA from 1 species
UACAGAGGGUGCGAGCGUUAAUCGGAAUUACUGGGCGUAAAGGGUGCGUAGGUGGAUGAUUAAGUGAGAUGUGAAAUCCCCGGGCUUAACCUGGGAACUGCAUCUUAUACUGGUCAUCUGGAGUGUGGUAGAGGGUAGUGGAAUUUCCGGUGUAGCGGUGAAAUGCGUAGAUAUCGGAAGGAACACCAGUGGCGAAGGCGGCUACCUGGACUAACACUGACACUGAGGCACGAGAGCGUGGGGAGCAAACAGG